AGAAGUUAGGCUGAAAUCUCCAAGUGUUGAUUUUGAUUCUGAAUCCGACGAAUUGAAUGAUUCUAAUGGCAAAAAAGAAUGAUGCGAAAUUGCUAUUACAGAAUAAGAAAUCAACAAAGAAGAAAAUUUGGAACAAUCAUAGCAACUGGUGCUCGCUUGCAUGAGACAGUGCCGCUCUAGCCAAGCAAUGAGCUCUGCCAUCAGCUCGCCUCCUUACCCACUGCAAGGACAAAUUACAAUCCUGCUGUAUCAAUGCUCUGCAAUCUUUUAUGACUAUGCCAUACUCAGACCAAUCGUCUUCAAAAGAAACAAUCGCAAAGAAAACCUCCUGUGAGUCAAUCUCAAACUUGAAACCUCCCAUCCAAUUUUUUUAACGUUUUAAAGAGAACAUAUUAAUUUCUUUUAUAUAAAAUAAAAAUAUCAUAUAUGUUCAAAUGAGAUGACUAAUUUAUGUACGAAUAAAAAUUAUAAAUAUUGC
rnacentral:misc_RNA from 1 species